UAUCAUGAAUUCCUCAUCACAAUACUCUGAGAAGGUACUACUAUUAUCCCCACUUCAGAGUUGAGGCAACUGAGGCACAGAGAUGUUCAAUGGGGCCCAACAUCCCAAAGCAAGUAGGAGAACAACCUAGAUUUGAACCCUGUGCUUGUUAGUUUUUUGGUUCAGAGCCUGCCCAGUCAAACACUACCAUAAAAGUAAUUAUGACUUAGGUUUUGAGUCAAGGAAUCAAAAGAUCCAGGUGGAAGUCCUGCCUCUGCCCCAGGCUCUUCAGAGCUGUCUGCUUUCUCAGACUCAGUUUCCCUAUGUGGAACUGGACUUGAAUAUCCUCACCAUUCCUUACUGUCUCUCAGCACAGUUGGCCAGGUUUCUCUUUCCUGACUCAGUAAUAGCACAAACUGGGAAUGAGAAGGAGUAGAUGCCCACCAAGACUCCUGAACUAACUGGGAGCUCAGGGACUCAGGACGGGGUGAGACCUAGUGGGUAGAGUCAGGGGACCACAGUGGGUGGUCCCCUCCUUACCCAAAAAAACCCUUGCUCAGUUUUUGGGCAGAUGCCAGACUUUUAUUCUGAAGCCGAGGCCACAACCUAUGAGGUAAUCUUUGGAGCUUCGUUCAGAGGAGGAAUCCCAUUGGCCAGGUAGUGAAGCCCCUCCCAGGGUUCCCGGUGCCCCGCCUUCCCAGAAGCCCAUAAAAGCGCACGUACCCCGCCUGGGCAGCCACCGGACACCUGCAUCUGCCAACAGGACUGAGAGCAGAAAAGGACCCAAACGGCGAAGUUUGAUCAUCUGCAAAGCAGGUAUCAACCAGCGUGGCUGCCUGGGGUGAUAAGCAGGUGAGAUACAAGCACACACAGAAGUCUGCCACUGGCAACAGGGUGAAGCUGUAAGUCGACCCCGCAGCAGUCCAGCUCCAAAUCCCACGUCCCCGGCGUGCCCGGGUGGGAGUCGGGCCCUUGGAGAUGGGACCCUGCCUCUCUCCAGGAGAACCAGGCGCUUGGCUCAGUUCCAUGGAUUGAUCGCAGGACAAGUGUGAACUUGUGUCAUCAGCGAAACUCACCCCCAAUUCUCUGCAGCACCCUAAUCGAGCCACAGACUCCACGUGGAACUCAUUCCAGCCCCAGGACCUUGGCUUCUGCUUCAGCUUGGAAUACACUCCCCCACCCCCACCCACAGCUCCCCGGGCUGACCCUGAUGUCUUAUCCAAGUGUCGUUUCAUCCAGGGGAACAUUCCUUGUUGCUCCAUCACUCCCCUGAGAAGUCUACACUCACAUUCUCACAGACCUGGCAUUCUGUGUCUGCUGCAUAUAGUCUAUUCAUUCUCACGUGAUCGGUUUCCAUGUCUGUCUCCCUGUCACGCCGUGAGCUCUGCAAGCACAGUUUGUAUUUUCACGGUUGUGUCCCCAGCACCCAGUCCAGGGCCUGGUAUGCAGUAUGCAUUCAAUAAACAUGGGGCUGGAUCAAUAAAUACCUCCAAGAAUA